CCUACGGGGGGCAGCAGUAGGGAAUAUUGCUCAAUGGGGGAAACCCUGAAGCAGCAACGCCGCGUGGAGGAUGAAGGUUUUCGGAUUGUAAACUCCUUUUGUUAGAGAAGAUAAUGACGGUAUCUAACGAAUAAGCACCGGCUAACUCCGUGCCAGCAGCCGCGGUAAUACGGAGGGUGCAAGCGUUACUCGGAAUCACUGGGCGUAAAGAGCGCGUAGGCGGGAUAGCAAGUCAGAUGUGAAAUCCUAUGGCUUAACCAUAGAACUGCAUUUGAAACUGUUAUUCUAGAGUAUGGGAGGGGUAGGUGGAAUUCUUGGUGUAGGGGAAAAAUCCGAAGAGAGCAAGAGGAAUAGUCAUGGAGAAGGGGACCUGCAAGAACAUAACGGACGCUGAGGCGCGAAGGCGUGGGGAGCAAACAGGAUUAGAGACCCCGGUAGUG
rnacentral:rRNA from 1 species